UCCCUGGGGGUCUAAUGGCUAAGACUCCACACUCCUAAUACAGGGGACCUGGGUUUGAUCCCCAGUCAGGGAA
rnacentral:tRNA from 1 species